rnacentral:sRNA from 1 species
GUGUUAGUAUUAUUAUUGUGUUACCAUUCAAACGGUAUAGUGCAUGAUGUUAAUAAAAUAAAAUAUAAUUUUGGUAGUUAAUAAAAAUUUAAUAUAUAUAUAUAUAUAUAAUGGU